rnacentral:rRNA from 1 species
UUCCGGUUGAUCCUGCCGGAGGUCACCGCUAUUGGAAUCUGCUUAAGCCAUGCGAGUCGAGAGGGUUCGGCCCUCGGCGGACUGCUCAGUAACACGUGGACAAUCUGCCCUUAGGCGGGGGAUAACCCCGGGAAACUGGGAACAAUACCCCAUAGAUCUAGAAUGCUGGAAUGCUUUUAGGUUCAAAGCUACGGCGCCUAAGGAUGAGUCUGCGGCCUAUCAGGUAGUAGGAGGUGUAAAGGACCCCCUAGCCAUUGACGGGUACGGGCCUUGGGAGAGGUAGCCCGGAGAUGGACUCUGAGACACGAGUCCAGGCCCUACGGGGCGCAGCAGGCGCGAAAACUGCACAAUGUGGGAAACCACGAUGCGGAGAUUCCAAGUGCCUAUGCUUUGCAUAGGCUGUUCGGAUAUCUAAAAAAUAUCUGAAGUAAGGGCCGGGUAAGACGGGUGCCAGCCGCCGCGGUAAUACCCGCGGCCCGAGUGGUGAUCGUUAUUAUUGAGCCUAAAGCGUCCGUAGCCGGCUCAGUAAAUCCUUGGGUAAAUCGGGCAGCUUAACUGUCCGAAUUCUGGGGAGACUGCUGGGCUUGGGACCGGAGGAGGUCGGAGGUACUCAAGGGGUAGGGGUGAAAUCCUGUAAUCCUUGGAGGACCACCAGUGGCGAAGGCGUCCGACUAAGACGGAUCCGACGGUAAGGGACGAAGCCCUGGGUCGCGAACGGGAUUAGAUACCCCGGUAGUCCAGGGUGUAAACGCUGCAGGCUUGGUGUCGGGGAUCCUACGAGGGUGCCCGGUGCCGUAGCGAAGGUGUUAAGCCUGCCGCUUGGGGAGUACGAUCGCAAGAUUGAAACUUAAAGGAAUUGGCGGGGGAGCACCGCAACGGGUGGAGCGUGCGGUUCAAUUGGAUUCAACGCCGG